GAUUUUUAAAAAAUGCUAUUUCUUUUUUCUUACAGACCCAUCACUGUCUGUGCUAAACCAAAUGUGGAAAAGCGGCUUGAUGGUGUUUGUGUCGGUGUGGCUGUUUGAGGUCAUCAUCCUGGUGUCGCUGUUGGUCGGAGGGUUUUACAUCUACACCAGAAUCUACAGGAAGCUGAGAUCAGCUGAGAGUAAGGAAGAGGAGGGUUUGUAGACCAACCUGAACCAAGACGAGGAGGAGAACACCCACACAGUACCAGAGAAACCACCUGACCCGUCCAGUCUGACAAAUCUACAGAAAUCUGAAGUUACCACUGAGGCAAAUAUUCAGAUCUUAAAGAGCAUAUUAUAGUGAAUUU
rnacentral:lncRNA from 1 species